rnacentral:snRNA from 1 species
AUACUUACCUGGUAGGGGAGAUACCAGGAUCACGAAGGUGGUUUUCCCAGGGCGAGGCUCACCCAUUGCACUCGGGGUGUGCUGACCCCUGCGAUUUCCCCAAAUGUGGGGAACUCGACUGCAUAAUUUGUGGUAGUGGGGGACUGCGUUUGCACUCUCCCCUG